rnacentral:lncRNA from 1 species
UUUCCCGACUCUUUCCUUUCAAGAGGGGCCUCUGUCAUGCAUAUUGGGCUCCAAACUUCUGGGCUUUGUACAAUGCUUUGGACAAAGUGCUGUCUGUCAUCGGUUUGAAAUUGAAAUUUCUUGAUCCCAACAAUAUUCCCAAGGCCUCAAUGACAAGUGGUUUGGUUCAGCAGUUCCAACACACAGUCCUUCCCUCAGUGACUCCCUUGGCAACCCUCAUCUGCACACUGAUUGCCAUAUUGAAAAGAAAAACCUCUUUUUAAUUGGAUGGAAACUUUCUACCUGCUUGGCCUGGGGCCUCUGGAAGUCUGCUGUGAAUUUGUAUUCCCUUUCACCUCCUGGAAGGUGAAGUACCCCUUCAUCCCUUUGUUACUAACCUCAGUGUAUUGUGCAGUAGGCAUCACAUAUGCUUGGUUCAAACUGUAUGUUUCAGUAUUGAUUGACUCUGCUAUUGGCAAGACAAAGAAACAAUGAAUAAAGGAACUGCUUAGAU